UUUACCGACAAUGUCUAAGAUCGCCUGUCUUUACCGACAAUGUCUAGGAUCGCCUGUCUUUACCGACAAUGUCUAAGAUCGCCUGUCUUUACCGACAAUGUCUAAGAUCGCCUGUCUUUACCGAAAAUGUCUAGGAUCGCCUGUCUUUACCGACAAUGUCUAAGAUCGCCUGUCUCUACCGACAAUGUCUAGGAUCGCCUGUCUUUACCGACAAUGUCUAAGAUCUCCUGUCUUUACCGACAAUGUCUAAGAUCGCCUGUCUUUACCGACAAUGUCUAGGAUCGCCUGUCUUUACCGACAAUGUCUAGGAUCGCCUGUCUUUACCGACAAUGUCUAAGAUCGCCUGUCUUUACCGACAAUGUCUAGGAUCGCCUGUCUUUAUCGACAAUGUCUAGGAUCGGCUGUCUUUACCGACAAUGUCUAGGGUUGCCUGUCUUUACCAACAAUGUCUAGGAUCGCCUGUCUUUACCGACAAUGUCUAGGAUCGCCUGUCUUUACCGACAAUGUCUAGGAUCGCCUGUCUUUACCGACAAUGUCUAGGAUCGCCUGUCUUUACAUGUUGUUGCUUGUUUGAUACAAUUUCGGACAUCAUAUGAUGAGAUUUUAUUUGCCAAAACUGCCCGAAGCGUCCUACUUUCAGUGAGUGUGUCAAAGAUCAACUGCGCUUACUGAUCUACUGGUCCACAGGUCUAAAUUCACCCAGAAAAAAUCUCAUCUCACCUGGGAUUCUUACUGGGAUCGCCGAGACUACUGUACUACGUUUGACCAUUGCUUACUGUGAGGAUUUUUCGGACUGCGAACAAAUUCCUAGGAAACAAGUUUUCAUAGUUAAUCAGUCGCAUUGAAUACGUUUCUCUUUCUGGUGCAAACCUGCGUUGAUACAAAUGAGCCACAUUGGGUACACAUAUAUGUAAAAACCAUAUGUCUAGGAGUAUGUUUACAGUAUAUGUAGCUUAGACACCAGAGUCUGUCGCCUCAUUACUGACGGCGCACAGAUAAAAAUGAUAAGAUUUUCAAAUCAAAAUAGAAUUUUCCUCAUUAAGUCCUAAUUGGACUAACUAGUGGAGGCAGGCAACUCGUAGGAAGCAAUUUGUCGGGGUGCCUUCAUUAUUUGUGCCAACCCCUCAUGAAAGAGAGGAGUUAAGCAACUGAUAUUUUCUUUCUUAUUUUUCACAGGAUUUUCAUCCAAAUUGGAUGUUUAAUGAAUGCCCGCUAUGUACAGGCAUAAUGCUGACUACUAUAUCUGUAACAUCCCUUACAGAUAAAGUUUGGGAUGUGAAGGACUGCUCGGUCCCCGGAGAUAUUCGUUAUAUGACGGCUUGGAUUCUUAUCAUUAGUUUGUAAUUGGUCAUUAGUCCCCCCUCCCCCCUCCCCCCUCCUUCUCCCUCACUACUCUCCCCCAGAGUUGAGAUAACGAUCGUACGCUGAACCUCAAACCACACCGUCCUAAUAUAAAAAAAAUAGCCACUCAUUUUCAAAAGACGCACCAUUUUAUGUUGAUGGUGUGAGAAUUCUUUGUGAACGACCGCCUUAAUUAUCGUGAUGUGUGACUCUUUACUGUGCCCGGUAGUAUUUUGCUUUCAUUUUAAAUAACCCACUAGUUAACGCCGAUUUAGAAUUUCGGCUGAAAUAAGUUUCAAAUAAUCCCAGAUGGUGCGAGUGACAGCCAUGGAGGGCCUUAAUUAAACUUCCUGCCUGGAGAGUUCCAAUGAAGCACAAAUUGGGACCUAAUUAUGGCUAUUAGGAGAAAGAGCCUUUUCAGAUGCCUUAAAUUUGUUUAGCAAUGUAUUUAGUUUACUAGCCUUAACCCUGUAACAAACUUGCUUUCUAACUGACUUUGAAAGAUGAAUACACAAGGAGAACGACUCGAUACGCUUACAUUUGUAGUUACCAGCAUGAGAAGUGCGAGGUAAUUCGGCGCGUUUCUAGGUGUCAAAUUAACCCUUAAAGUUAAAUACGUAAACCAAUAUUCAAAUCACUCUAACGAACAUCAGCUGUCAAAAUAAGUUGCACGUGUUAUAAAGAAGUUGCCAGUUAGUUUAUAAGUAGUGUUGUCAUGGCCACAGACAUAUACGAUAUAAUACAUUCGGGUUUUCUAACUGUUUCACACGAGUAACUAUGAGAAGAUCAAGUACUCUAUAGUGAUUACGUCAUCUCCGGACAAAUCCACGUGACGUGCUGGUUAUAGACUUGCUCAUGUUUCAGUAUAUCACGGGAGAUUUGUAUAAGAAGACUAUCGCUAUUGGAGAUUGCUAUAGCCAAUGUCCACGUGAGAAGACUAUCGCUAUUGGAGAUUGCUAUAGCCAAUGUCCACGGCAGUGAGAAGUCUAUCGCUUUUGGAGAUUGCUAUAGCUAAUGUCCACGGCAGUGAAAAGACUAUCGCUAUUGAAGAUUGCUAUAGCUAAUGUCCACGGCAGUGAGAAGACUAUCGCUAUUGGAGAUUGCUAUAGCUAAUGUCCACGGCAUUGAGAAGACUAUCGCUAUUGUAGAGUGAUAUAGCCAAUGUUCACGGCAGUGAGAAGACUAUCGCUAUUGUAGAGUGCUAUAGCUAAUGUCCACGGCAAUGAGAAGACUGUCGCUAUUGGAGAUUGCUAUAGCUAAUGUCCACGGCAGUGAGAAGACUAUCGCUAUUGUAGAGUGAUAUAGCCAAUGUUCACGGCAGUGAGAAGACUAUCGCUAUUGUAGAGUGCUAUAGCUAAUGUCCACGGCAGUGAGAAGACUAUCGCUAUUGUAGAGUGCUAUAGCUAAUGUCCACGGCAGUGAGAAGACUAUCGCUAUUGUAGAGUGAUAUAGCCAAUGUUCACGUGAGAAGACUAUCGCUAUUGUAGAGUGCUAUAGCUAAUGUCCACGGCAGUGAGAAGACUAUCACUGUUGAAGAAUCACGCAAACAAAACCUUUACCCUGCUCUAUAUCAGAACAAGUAGGGAAAUGAAAGAACAUUUAUUCGGGAUUAAGUAGGUUCCAAUGAUCAUAUGAGAAAACCGGAGGUUAACAUGAUAGUCGGCUUUUAUUUAGUUCUCUUCUUAUCAGAAAGGAUAAUACCAUGAUUUAUGAAAACGUGACAAGCACAUAUCAGAAAAGUUCGAGACAUGGUCAUAAACCAGGAGAGGUAUAUUUGUAGCCAACCUCGCCAUCCUAUGGUCAUCAUAAGGUCAUCCUAUGUUCAUCCUAAGGUCAUCCUAAGGUCAUCCUUAGGUCAUCCUACGGUCACCUUAAGGUCAUCCUAAGGUCGUCCUAUGGCCCUCCUAAGGUCAUCCUAUGGUCAUCUUAAGAUCAUCCUAUGGUCAUCCUAUGGUCAUCUUAAGAUCAUCCUAUGGUCAUCCUAAGGUCAUCCUAUGGUCAUCCUAAGAUCAUCCUAUGGUCAUCCUAAGAUCAUCCUAUGGUCAUCUUAAGGUCAUCCUAUGGUCAUCCUAAGAUCAUCCUAUGGUCAUCUUAAGGUCAUCCUAUGGUCAUCCUAAGAUCAUCCUAAGGUCAUCCUAUGGUCAUCCUAUGGUCAUCCUAAGAUCAUCCUAUGGUCAUCCUAAGGUCAUCAUAUGGUCAUCCUAAGGUCAUCCUAAGGUCAUCAUAUGGUCAUCUUAAGGUCAUCAUAUGGUCAUUAUAAGAUCAUCCUAAGGUCAUCCUAUGGUCAUCUUAAGGUCAUCCUAUGGUCAUCUUAAGGUCAUCCUAAGGUCAUCCUAUGGUCAUCUUAAGGUCAUCAUAUUUUCAUCCUAAGGUCAUCCUAAGGUCAUCCUUAGGUCAUCCUAUGGUCAUCCUAAGAUCAUCCUAUGGUCAUCCUAUGGUCAUCCUAAGGUCAUCAUAUGGUCAUCCUAAGGUCAUCAUAUGGUCAUCCUAAGGUCAUCCUAUGGUCAUCCUAUGGUCAUCCUAAGGUCAUCCUAAGAUCAUCCUAUGGUCAUCCUAAGAUCAUCCUAUGGUCAUCCUAAGGUCAUCCUAAGGUCAUCCUAUGGUCAUCCUAUGGUCAUCCUAAGAUCAUCCUAUGGUCAUCCUAAGGUCAUCCUAUGGUCAUCUUAAGGUCAUCCUAUGGUCAUCCUAAGAUCAUCCUAUGGUCAUCCUAUGGUCAUCCUAAGGUCAUCAUAUGGUCAUCCUAAGGUCAUCCUAAGGUCAUCCUAUGGUCAUCUUAAGGUCAUCAUAUGGUCAUUAUAAGGUCAUCCUAAGUAAGAGGAACUACUUCAACGACAACGGAGUGAAACUAAUUUGGAAAGUAGUUCGUUGCUGAAUUUUCUGUUAUUUUACGUUAAUAUCAGAAAAUGACAUAUAUCAUAUUGAAUCAUUGAAAAUGUAAUAGAUAAGUAAAUCAGACCCGUAAACACUUAUAUACAAACAGAUAGAUACUUUACAUUCAAAGUCAAACGAUCUGUUAAUAAACAAGGAAAUGAAGCCUUGUUCUAAAUGAUGAUAAUUGAUGGAAACACUUGUGGUGUUAUAUCCCAUAUAGUAAUCAGUAGUUGUCUUCUUCUUCUUCUUCUUCUUCCUCUUCUUCUUCUUCUUCUUCUUCUUCUUCUUCUUCUUCUCUUCUUCUUCUUCUUCUUCUUCUUCUUCUUCAGUGUAAACUGAAAGGAAAACUAAUAUUUUGCAUGCCAGAUUAAGAUGUAGAUCGAGUACUCUAAAUGACGACUUAUUUCAUGCUAAUUUGAUUGAUUUCCAACUUUGUCAAUGUGGACACUAUAUAGAAAAUGCUUACCAUUUCUUCUUUAAUUGUAACAAGUAGUCAGAGAGUAAAAUGGUAUCGCGAGUUAAAUGAGUUCAUCCCACUAGACCUGCAACUUACAUUACACGGAAGUCCUGAUUUAACAAA